GUGUGCUCUUUGGCUGAGGGACUGGUGGGCGCUGGAAAUAUUAGAGGCGCCGGUGCCUGUGAUGUCGCCGCCUCUGUGACGUCCCCGCCGCGACCCCACAGGCAGGGAGCCGCAUUUAGGUUUCGGGCGGGCGGACGGGGGACGGCCCGAGUGAGGCGUCCUCCGAAGGCUGCGGGCCCGAAGCCAGAACUCCUUCCUCUCCGAAGACCUCGGGGGUGGGGCUCGCGCUUCCGCAGCGGGCCUAGAGCGAGAGGCAGGCGGCAGGGAGAGGCUGUCGAUGCUGAGGCACGAGAGAAUUUGCUCCUGCUCCUCCAGAGAAAAUGGCUGGGACAGGCUGUUGAGGAAUAAUUCUGCAGGGAAAAGUGGAAGAUGGCUGUGAAAGACUGGGAGGAGGCUGGCUGUGUUUUCAGGGGUUCUUCCUGCACAGUCGGUAGAAGCUGAGCUGCUGGGGAAGGGGCUGGAAGAAAGCCCACACCGCAGGUAUCAGUAGCAAAUUCAAAAACUACAGAAUCAGCUCCAGAGGACUUUGUUAACAAGAAAGAGAAGAUUGAAAACAGCCCUGGGGCUACACCAACUCAAGAGCUCCCAGGCAAAGUGGCAUCCUGGACCCACCAUCUCUCCUACCCCAUCCUCAGUCGGUACUUCCCCAGGCACCGUUUGUUCUGGCAUGGGGCUAGUUCAGCCCUGGGACCACCCUCAUCCUUAUAACUACCAGCUGUCUUUGGUGAGGUGCAAGAUCUCUCUGGUUUUCUUUAUUUCAUUUUCAUUCCUAUAAUCACAGCCUUUUUUGUGCCCAUCCCUCAGGUGACAUUCUAUUAUGUUUGAUGUGUCAUUUUUGAUUUGGUUGUGUCCUUGCAAAAUGUGCGUUGUUUUAUUUAUCAAUUUAUUUUUAUUUUUAUUUUUUUAAAGAGAUGAGGUCUCAUCAUGUUGCCCAGGCUGGACUCCAACUCCUGGGCUCAAGCGAUCCUUCCACCUCAAUCUUCUGAGUGGCUGGGACUACAGAUGUGCGCCACCAUACCUGGCUAUUGAUCAAUUUUUAGUUUACCAAACAGGCAUUAUGUUCUGGGUCCCAUUCUGUGUCGGGUUCUCUUUUCACUCGGCA
rnacentral:lncRNA from 1 species